GACGUAGGGCGCGAGCGUUUGUCCGGAUUUAUUGGGCGUAAAGAGCUCGUAGGCGGCUUGUCGCGUCGUCUGUGAAAUCCCGCGGCUCAACCGCGGGUCUGCAGUCGAUACGGGCAGGCUAGAGUUCGGUAGGGGAGACUGGAAUUCCUGGUGUAGCGGUGAAAUGCGCAGAUAUCAGGAGGAACACCGGUGGCGAAGGCGGAUCUCUGGGCCAUUACUGACGCUGAGGAGCGAAAGCGUGGGGAGCGAACAGG
rnacentral:rRNA from 1 species